ACGAACGCUGGCGGCGUGCUUAACACAUGCAAGUCGAACGGAAAGGCCCUUCGGGGUACUCGAGUGGCGAACGGGUGAGUAACACGUGGGUGAUCUGCCCUGCACUUUGGGAUAAGCCUGGGAAACUGGGUCUAAUACCGAAUAGGACCACGCGCUUCAUGGUGUGUGGUGGAAAGCUUUUGCGGUGUGGGAUGGGCCCGCGGCCUAUCAGCUUGUUGGUGGGGUAAUGGCCUACCAAGGCGACGACGGGUAGCCGGCCUGAGAGGGUGACCGGCCACACUGGGACUGAGAUACGGCCCAGACUCCUACGGGAGGCAGCAGUGGGGAAUAUUGCACAAUGGGCGCAAGCCUGAUGCAGCGACGCCGCGUGAGGGAUGACGGCCUUCGGGUUGUAAACCUCUUUCAAUAGGGACGAAGCGUGAGUGACGGUACCUAUAGAAGAAGCACCGGCUAACUACGUGCCAGCAGCCGCGGUAAUACGUAGGGUGCGAGCGUUGUCCGGAAUUACUGGGCGUAAAGAGCUCGUAGGUGGUUUGUCGCGUUGUUCGUGAAAACUCACAGCUUAACUGUGGGCGUGCGGGCGAUACGGGCAGACUAGAGUACUGCAGGGGAGACUGGAAUUCCUGGUGUAGCGGUGGAAUGCGCAGAUAUCAGGAGGAACACCGGUGGCGAAGGCGGGUCUCUGGGCAGUAACUGACGCUGAGGAGCGAAAGCGUGGGGAGCGAACAGGAUUAGAUACCCUGGUAGUCCACGCCUUAAACGGUGGGUACUAGGUGUGGGUUCCUUCCUUGGGAUCCGUGCCGUAGCUAACGCAUUAAGUACCCCGCCUGGGGAGUACGGCCGCAAGGCUAAAACUCAAAGGAAUUGACGGGGGCCCGCACAAGCGGCGGAGCAUGUGGAUUAAUUCGAUGCAACGCGAAGAACCUUACCUGGGUUUGACAUGCACAGGACGCCGGCAGAGAUGUCGGUUCCCUUGUGGCCUGUGUGCAGGUGGUGCAUGGCUGUCGUCAGCUCGUGUCGUGAGAUGUUGGGUUAAGUCCCGCAACGAGCGCAACCCUUGUCCUAUGUUGCCAGCGGGUUAUGCCGGGGACUCGUAGGAGACUGCCGGGGUCAACUCGGAGGAAGGUGGGGAUGACGUCAAGUCAUCAUGCCCCUUAUGUCCAGGGCUUCACACAUGCUACAAUGGCCGGUACAAAGGGCUGCGAUGCCGUGAGGUGGAGCGAAUCCUUUCAAAGCCGGUCUCAGUUCGGAUCGGGGUCUGCAACUCGACCCCGUGAAGUCGGAGUCGCUAGUAAUCGCAGAUCAGCAACGCUGCGGUGAAUACGUUCCCGGGCCUUGUACACACCGCCC
rnacentral:rRNA from 1 species